UUUACAGGAUGCAGCGGUCAGGUGACUGUGACUCAACCUCCAGUCAAGACAGUUACUCCAGGAUCCACUGUCACUCUGACCUGUAAGACCAGUCAGGAUGUUGCCUCGUGCACUCAUGGUUCGUGUAUGUUCUGGUAUCAACAGAAAUCUGGACAGACUCCGAAACUCCUUGUAAGACAUGUGAGCAUCAGUCAUUCAGGAACUCCAGCUCGGUUUAGUGGCAGUGGAAGCGGCUCUGACUUCACUUUGACCAUCAGUGGAGUUCAGGCUGAAGAUGCAGCAGUUUAUUACUGUAAGAGUUUUCAUGUCAUAAACAGUGCCUGUGUGUUGACACAGUGAUUUAUGGUCGUACAAAAACCUCCUCAGUCAGACUGCAGAGACUCUGAGCUGUUACAGCAGGAAGCGACUGCAGCUGCUGAAGAGGAAGAAACUCUGACACAGACCACUGAACACAGAGCUGACAGGAACCUCACCAAGCACAAACUAGAACACAUUAACG